rfam:Rattus norvegicus chromosome 10, whole genome shotgun sequence.
GGGGAUUUAGCUCAGCAGUAGAGCGCUUGCCUAGCAAGCACAAGGCCCUGGGUUCGGUCCCCAGCUCCG